UAAUUUUUUGCAUGUGGAUACAAUACGGGAAAUGAUUAUGGGAAAAUGCAUAACUGCAAUUACUGUAAUAGCAUGACGCUAAUUUAAGUCAUUUGAGCAUUCUUUUUUGUUUUUGUCCGGGCGGAAAAGAGAAGAGCUUGUUAGUGUGUCAUAUUUGGUUUUUUUACUGUAUAGAACAUUUUAGUGUUUUGGAAUGUUUCAUAAUGUGCUAGAUGCUUAAUGCUGUAGGCAGAUUUUAGUGUUUUGUAGUUGUUGGUUUUGCUUGUUUUGGAAUGCUGAAUGCUGGUUUUGCUGAAAUGUUUUGGGUGAAGCUUUUUUUGUUACUCUGUUUUGGACUUUUGGUCUGUUCCACUGCCUCAGCCCCACCGUCGUGCUCCUUGUCCCGCUCUGUGCUCUGUCUUGAAGGAUCUAGUUCAUUCCUUAAUUGAUUGAGCAGGGUUCUGAGAAUGGUGACACUGUGAACUAUGCAACUGUGGUCAGGGAAGUGAAAGCAUAUUUGAAGAAAGGUGUUGCAGCAAAGGAAUUGCAGUCACAUAUUGCUGCAUUUCCUGUAUCUGCUCAGGAGAAGAUGAAUGCACUUCUUGAAGGAUUAUUUGAUGGCGUAGAAAAAGCCUUUGGAAAAGAAGCUAUCAAGAGGAAGAAUCACCUUGCUGCUGCAGUUGCUGGAGAUGACGAGGGAUCGCAGCUGUUAUUGCUCAAUGCUGUGAUGGCAAUAGAUGGAUGAGAUGAAAUUCAGAACAGUUUCAUGUAUGCGAACUAAGUUUCAGAUGAAAAACUUAUUAGGGCCUGGCUUCGU